rnacentral:rRNA from 1 species
GAUGAACGCUGGCGGCGUGCCUAAUACAUGCAAGUCGAGCGAACGGACGAGAAGCUUGCUUUUCUGAUGUUAGCGGCGGACGGGUGAGUAACACGUGGAUAACCUACCUAUAAGACUGGGAUAACUUCGGGAAACCGGAGCUAAUACCGGAUAAUAUUUUGAACCGCAUGGUUCAAAAGUGAAAGACGGUCUUGCUGUCACUUAUAGAUGGAUCCGCGCUGCAUUAGCUGGUUGGUAAGGUAACGGCUUACCAAGGCAACGAUGCAUAGCCGACCUGAGAGGGUGGUCGCCCACACUGGAACUGGGACACGGUCCAGACUCCUACGGGAGGCAGCAGUAGGGAACCUUACGCAAUGGGCGAAAGCCUGACGGAGCAACGCCGCGUGAGUGAUGAAGGUCUUCGGAUCGUAAAACUCUGUUAUUAGGGAAGAACAUAUGUGUAAGUAACUGUGCACAUCUUGACGGUACCUAAUCAGAAAGCCACGGCUAACUACGUG